UUUCCAGAAACAGAUCUUUGCUUUUAACAUUUGCAGGUGUGUGCCCUCCACAGGGAAAAGCCUUCAAAGGCUAUUCCUGUCCUUGGAAAUAGAGCUGGGGAGACGUUCAUGUCUGGGGGGAUUGGACUAAUCCUCAUUCGCUGCUGCCAAGGAUGCUCAAAAUAUCCCGUGUCUCCGUGCUCCAGAGACGCUGCGGAGCGGGGAUCGGGGGCGAAGCUGGGCUCCGUCCGCAGGGGAUUUGCGGUGCCUCCGCCGGCAGCCGCUCGCCGGGCGUCAUCGCUGACGUGCGCGCAUGAGAGAGAGAUGCUCCUGCCCGCAUGAGAGAGAGAUGCUCCUGCCCGCGCCGAGGGGACCGCUCGGCCUGCAGGGACAGGAGCGGCCGAGGGGACAGCGGGGCCUCCCCAGGAACAUGGAAUAACCCCCCUGUCUGUCAGGGCAAAGGCUCCCUGCUCCGGCCAUGGAGCCCAAACAGCCCAAACCCAGAGCAUCAUCUCCAGCAACACACAGCCUGAGAUGGUGACAUGGAAGUGGCAGCACAGCGCACUUUGGUGCUCGCUUGCCAAUGCUGAGAUUUGACUCCUUCCCCCAGGAUCAGAGGGUGUGGGUGAGCCUCUGGGGAAAGUCCCACUGUCAGCAGCCUGGGUCCUGCAGCUAACCUGGAAUCUUGAAGGUGGGAACUGGGGGGAAAGCCAGAGCAUCCUGCACAGGGUACUAAGGACCCAAGGAAGCUCCACACCUGCUGAUGGCCCAUGUGGAUGGGGCGCUCAGCCAUGUGCCAAGGACACACUCCAGCUGUGCUGAGGGGCAGGACUGGAGAGAAAGAAGGUAUGGGAACCAGUGGCACUGCAUUGCUGCCAGGCCAGUGCCACUGCAGAGGGAUGGGUCUCUGAGAAUGAGGGAGCUGCC